rnacentral:rRNA from 1 species
UACGUAGGGAGCAAGCGUUGUCCGGAAUCAUUGGGCGUAAAGCGCGCGUAGGCGGCCCUGUAAGUCCGCUGUGAAAGUCAAAGGCUCAACCUUUGAAAGCCGGUGGAUACUGCAGGGCUAGAGUCCGGAAGAGGCGAGUGGAAUUCCUGGUGUAGCGGUGAAAUGCGCAGAUAUCAGGAGGAACACCAAUGGCGAAGGCAGCUCGCUGGGACGGUACUGACGCUGAGACGCGAAAGCGUGGGGAGCAAACAGG